rnacentral:rRNA from 1 species
GACGAACGCUGGCGGCGUGCUUAACACAUGCAAGUCGAACGGAAAGGCCCUGCUUUUGUGGGGUUCUCGAGUGGCGAACGGGUGAGUAACACGUGAGUAACCUGCCCUUGACUUUGGGAUAACUUCAGGAAACUGGGGCUAAUACCGGAUAGGAGCUCCUGCUGCAUGGUGGGGGUUGGAAAGUUUCGGCGGUUGGGGAUGGACUCGCGGCUUAUCAGCUUGAUGGUGGGGUAGUGGCUUACCAAGGCUUCGACGGGUAGCCGGCCUGAGAGGGUGACCGGCCACAUUGGGACUGAGAUACGGCCCAGACUCCUACGGGCGGCAGCAGUGGGGAAUAUUGCACAAUGGGCGGAAGCCUGAUGCAGCAACGCCGCGUGCGGGAUGACGGCCUUCGGGUUGUAAACCGCUUUCGCCUGUGACGAAGCGUGAGUGACGGUAAUGGGUAAAGAAGCACCGGCUAACUACGUG